rnacentral:rRNA from 1 species
AUUGAACGCUGGCGGCAUGCUUUACACAUGCAAGUCGAACGGUAACAGGCCGCAAGGUGCUGACGAGUGGCGAACGGGUGAGUAAUGCAUCGGAACGUGCCCAGUCGUGGGGGAUAACUACUCGAAAGAGUAGCUAAUACCGCAUACGAUCUAUGGAUGAAAGCGGGGGACCGUAAGGCCUCGCGCGAUUGGAGCGGCCGAUGUCAGAUUAGGUAGUUGUGGGGGUAAAGGCUCACCAAGCCAACGAUCUGUAGCUGGUCUGAGAGGACAACCAGCCACAUGGGGAUGGAAACCGGGCACAGCCCCAUGCGGGGGGAGGCAGGGGGGAUUUUGGGAGAAGGGGCGCAAGCUUGAUCCAGAAAGGCCGCGUGAAGAAAGAGGGCUUUGGGUUUUAAACCUGUUUUUGUCGGAAAGAAAGCGGCUUUGUUUAAUACCGGGGGAAAAGGACGGAACCGAAAGAAAAAGCCCCGGCUAACUACGUC